rnacentral:pre_miRNA from 1 species
UCUUACAGAUGAGCAAAGAAAGUGGUUUCUUGAAGAGGAAUCUACUUCUGGUGAAGAUGCUGUGAC